CUUUAGAGGGGAAGAUGAAAACAGUCAAAAAUCCAGGCUACGAUGACUCUUGAUGUCUGAAAGAGGAAGAAUUUCCUGAGUUUGCUGACUGCUCCCGUCCUCUCCCUGCAGACACCUGUGAAUAUCUGCUCCAGGGAGAAAAGAGGUUCUUCACCUCAUAUAACACCAUUUUUAUGCUUAUUACUGUUGAUGCGAUUGAACCUCUACCACAGUCUGAUUUUGGAUGCCUGUGCCCAUGGAGACUGGAGAACAUCAGCUGUUCAUAGAGAGAGCAGAACUAGAAUUACCUUUGGCUGCAGAGGGGAUCUGGGACGUGGUGGCUGAGGAGAGCACAGUGUGCUUGUACGCAGGAUAGUUUUAUAGUAUUUUUUUUUCUAAGUAGUUUCCAGGCUCUAACAGCCCCACCGGACCAGUUUCUACUCCUGUUCCUUAUGCAAUCCUUCACUUUGGUUCCACGUCCACUUUUUAUUCUGCAAUAUCUGAACACCCCCUGGUGUAUGUGCAGUAGCACCACUGCCAUGCUGCUCAGUGCCUGGGGACAACACAGGGGCUGCCCACCGGGGUCGGAGCUGCUGGAGGAUCCCACAGCAGCCUCCCAUCCUCGGCUGCUCAUCAAACUGUCCCUUGGAUGGAGCACAAGGAAGAGCGCAGGCUUGGAGUCCCCACGUAGAUGGGAAAACACUGAAAAUAAUUUCUGUUUCAAUGGAGGCAUAGGGGUGCGUGUAACAAGGUAGACUGGGCAAUGCGCACGUAAUGUGGAGCCAGAAUCUAAAAACCAGGAGGAAAGGAAGUUUCUUUCUUUUAUUCUUCUUUGUGUUCCUGGAGGCAGGACUCUGAUGGAAGUUGUCAUGCUGCAAGUUUCUGCUCAGCAAAUGUCAGACUGUUUACUUUUAAGCAAAGCAAAUCAGGAAAGGAGGGAAAAGGCGAUAAUGUUAAUUGACUUUUAUUACUUCUUGUAUAUAGAAAUUAAAGGCAAGGUUAAGAAAGCCUGAAUCCCUCAUUGGGUCCUUCUAGCAUCAGGUUUACCUCUGAAAGGAAAGAAAUCUCAGGUUAUGAUCCACACUGAGGCACGGGCAUGGAGAAGUCCCAGGGAGAUUAAUGCUGUGAUAUUGCAGCAGGAGAGGUUGCUGGAUCCAUGGUGAAGUUGUUGGGUCUGGAGUGCUUUAGUGGAGGCUGUUGCAUUUUGAUGGGGGACAGUCUCUGUCAAAAGAGAGUGGUGAAAAAUCUGUGAGACAGUAGCAGUUGCAGAUGUAGGAAGAGAUUUUGAGGAGUGGGUUGUUGCUGAACUGAAGAGGAAUAAAAGCAGGAGAAUGACAUUAGCAUAUAAUUUCUGGCAGUUGUUACAGCGCAUAAUAACUUCAAUUUAAAAGCUUCUCAUUUCCCUCACUUUGUGCCUUAUUAAGUCUCCAACCUAUAUUUAAUGGUAGGAAUAUCACUUUUGCUUCCCUAAUUCUGUGCAUGCAAUUGAUCUCUGUAACCUGCUAGAUCUCCACUUGGAUUUCCAAAGUAUACGAGGGCUCUCACUUGUGUCUCAAGAGGUGCAAAAUUAUAACUCAGCCCUCUUUUGUGGUGCAUGUGCUACUUUGGUCCUUUGCUUCCUUGUGGUAGGAGCAGAGUAAUGGAAGAGUGGUUUUGAUGCAUCUCAGAUAUUUGUCAUGUUUCCAGGGGCGUUUUCAGCAUGGCAGGUUUCCCCUAUAUGUAUAUAAGUACAAAUUUCAUAUUUAAAAAAUAAAAUAAAAUCCCACAUUUAAUUAUUUUAUGACACAAACUGUUUUCAUAAAAAUGAAGCUUGUGCAAAUGCAUCAUUUGGCAAGUUUUCUUUGAAUCCAUAGGCUACUCACAUUUUGUAUAGAUUGGCCGUUUCUACCCUUGCUGAACAAGUCAGUGCCAACUGCUGCUUUCAUUUUCCUGUCUGUAGUUGUGCUGUAGAUCUCUUCCAAGAUAUAUUUUUUCUGAUGUGACUCACCCAGCUUCGUAUGGGAAAGUGCAGCUUAUUCAAACUAUUCUAAAUCUAUUUAUCGAGGCAAAUAUUUGGACAUCUGAAACAGUAGUAAAGUGCUAAGAAGUCUAUCAGGGCAGGAGAGCACACAAAAUCUGUGAAAUUUUAAGUCGCUACCUAGUGUGCUUUAUCUGGAGGCAUUAAUUGGCAAAGAGCAGUGUAGAAAUUUUGAUUCAUACACUCACACGUGCCCAUGCAGUGAGCGAAAGCUGUGUUUAUGUUUGAGCUCCAUUUUCCCAGCAAUAAAUUUAGGCUUACUGCGCUGUCAGAUGCUUCACCACCACGAAGGGGCUUUGACGUUAGGUAGCUGCGUUUAGACCUCUCCUGUGUCACUGGUUCAGUCUCUAAAAGCCAUGAGUUGUUGUGAGCUGAUGGCUCUCUAAUGGAGUCCUCAAAACCAGCUCGCAGCACAGUCAAACUCUUGAAAUUAUGUUUUAUCCAGAAUAAAUUUGGUCAAAAAUUCCAGUUUAAAUUUUGUUCAGUUUCAAUAGGUCUUGACAAUUACAUGCUCUCAUCACGGAAGAAAGCUCAGGAGAAGAUCCUCCUGUCUCCCAAGCAAGACUAACCUCUAGUUUCUAGAGACUCGCACUCUAAACCAUUGUCAGAGGCUACUGGAGCCCGAACAGGGUGAUGGGAGGUAUAAAUGGCCAUGUAAGUGGUUAGGAAUUUGACAAGAUUUCCUUGCUGAUAGGGCUACAGAUGUGAAAGACUGGGCUUUGUUCUCCUGUUUUGGUUUUAAACUUCUGGCUGCCUGAAUUCAAGUAUUUCUUCAUGAUUCUGUAAUGAAGUCAGAGGUCUGAAUUCAUGUGUUGUUUUUUAUUUGCAUUUUUACUACAGUUAGUCUCAUUUCCUUGUUGCUAAAGGCCAUUAGUGAGGAGUUGGAUGGCUUGUCUAGGUUUCUGCUUUUUGUAAUUUUCCAAAGCUCUAUACAUAAUAAAUCAGGCACACAUUUUUGCUUCUGCAAUUAACUAAUCCACAAUGCAACAGGAACAGUAGAAUUGAUUGAAUAUGUCAAGAUUUAAGCCUCAAGAAAAAAAAAAAACACACCAAAAAUAAACCUAUUUGUGGCGGUGCUUCUCAAAAUGGUCCUCAUUCUUACACGGAUCUAGCCAUAAAAUUAGGACAAGUAAAGGAUUUUGCCACUACAUCACCCUCCAGCCAGUACUAACCUGUGCUUGAAAUGAACUUUUGAUGUGAAACAUUCAUCUCUGCAGCACACAUGGCUUCACCUUUCUAUUCAUCUCACCUACAGAUGACAACUCACCUUGCUUCCAUUAAGAACCUGCUUUCUGGGCUGGAAUUGCAGAAUGGUUUCUGCUGAAGGUGUAUGCAGAAGUUGGGGCCAUAUCCCACCUGAAACCAGGAAAACAGCAGUCAUCGCAGUGAGGACCACACGUUUUUGUGCCCAAACACCAAAUAGGAGAUGACUACUCAGGGAAAGUCAAGAAUUCUUUUCGGCUGGUGUCAGAUACAGAAAUGCUAAGAAAAUUAACUUCAAGGAUUUAAGGAACCCCAAAUCCUUCCAGUUCUAUCCACACCCAAACCUCUUCUGAAGCAGCUGGAUCUGGCUAACCACCAGGAUGAGCUGGGAUGGGCCUUGGACCAUGGCUUUCUUGGAGCACAACAAGCCCACACCAAAUGUCAGCGUUGGUCCUUGGUGGGAUUGGAAUUUUGAAGUGCUUUGGAAAUCCAGUUGCUCUUUUUGAGAGCUUAGGCUCCCCAAAAGCUGCUGUACCUGAGCUAAGUGUCUACCACAGGUCAAGGCCUUGGCCAUGAAGUCCUCCUCUCCCCAGGGAGCACAUCUCUUGGCACGCUCAGUGGAUGCAGUGCCAGCUUGGGACGGGCUGACAGAUCCCCGAGUGCUUGCAUGCACUGGGCAGAAUAAUGGGACGUAGUUAUGAGUGUGUGCAAGGCGUAGGGAGGUGUUGCUGUUCAUUAACCUCUUUUCAGUGCAGAGCUGCUCUUGAAGUCAUCUUCCUUGCUUGCAUCUCCCCUGGGAGGACAAGCUCCCAGGCGGCACGGAGUGACUUCAGCUGGGGCACGAACCCAUGGCUCCUGGAAGCACCUCGGCUGUGCCAACCAGACAGAGCUCCAGGACACGGCGUGCUGCGGGGAGCCACAGUGCUGUCAGGGUUCAAAGGCUGAUGAGCCAUCCUUCCUCUAAGGAAACGCAUCGCAACCUUUCGGGCCACCAUUCACACCAACCUCCUGGCUUUCCGAUGGCUCUGGUUCAUUUUCAUCUCCUCCAAAUAUCUCCAUCUGUUCUCAGAGGCGCUGAACUGUGCUGUGAGUGUGGGAUGAAAUGCAAAGGGAAAGGGGAAAAAAAAUAUGAUUCCUGUCAGGUAGAUGAAAACUCAGUUUCCCCCCUUCUCCUUCCUGCCUCCUGGAGAACACACCGUAUGUGGAAGGUGACCUUUUGUCUCCUUUCUCUCCGCCCGAGCUGAGAGAGAUUCGGCUGACACAUCCGAUGACAGAUAGAUACCAGCAUGAGCAAAUUGCGCUUGAACUUGCUCCAGAGAAAAUUGUUACAAGGCGCGGGCACAGGCUGGGCUGCAUUAGGGAGAGCACAGAUCACAGUCAAAUGUUUGUGUCAUUUGCAAACGCCACUGCGA